UUGUAACACGAACCGGUGCUAAAGGGUCCCUGCCCCGACAGCACCUGUUAGUAGCCGUUGGGCAGAACCCUUUAGCACCGGUUCGUGUUACGAA
rnacentral:pre_miRNA from 1 species